CUUAUCUUCUGAAUUCUGGUUUGGUUUUCAGAUGUUUCCCAUUAUAAAGAGAUAUGAGAAUGUUUGAGUGCAAAAUGUUCGCAAGGAAGCAGACAAGGGAGAGCUUGUGUCAGUGAAAGAUUGUAUUUUCAUUCCUUUCUCCUCUUGACAAGUUCAAUAUAUCUCUGUUCCCUGAAUUAUUCACAAAAACAAUAAGCAAAAUAAAGAAGAAUUGAAAGAAGGGCAACCAAAUGAUUCAGCUGCCAUGUACUACUCCCAGGGUAAUGAGCUUCCAU
rnacentral:lncRNA from 1 species